UACGGAGGGUGCAAGCAUUAAUCGGAAUUAUUGGGCGUAAAGGGCGCGUAGGCGGGUUUGCAAGUCAGAUGUGAAGUACCAAAGCUCAACUUUGGUGCUGCAUUUGAAACUGCAAGUCUUGAGGAAUGGCGGAGAAAACGGAAUUCCACGUGUAGCGGUGAAAUGCGUAGAUAUGUGGAAGAACACCGGUGGCGAAAGCGGUUUUCUAGCUAUUUCCUGACGCUGAGGCGCGAGAGCAAGGGGAGCAAACAGG
rnacentral:rRNA from 1 species